CGCGAAUUGCCCUUCGGGGUGCACCAGGCGCGAAAACUUUACAAUGCUGGAAACAGCGAUAGGGGGACUUUGAGCCCAGGAUACAAUUCUGGCUGUCGUCGUGCCUAAAAAACACGGCAUAGCAAGGGCCGGGCAAGACCGGUGCCAGCCGCCGCGGUAACACCGGCGGCUCGAGUGGUAACCGCUAUUAUUGGGUCUAAAGGGUCUGUAGCCGGCUGAAAAAGUCUCUUGGGAAAUCCGGCAGCUUAACUGUCGGGCUUUCAGGAGAUACUCUUCGGCUCGAGACCGGGAGAGGUGAGAGGUACUUCAUGGGUAGGGGUGAAAUCUUGUAAUCCUUGAAGGACCACCAGUGGCGAAGGCGUCUCACCAGAACGGAUCUGACGGCAAGGGACGAAAGCUAGGGGCACGAACCGGAUUAGAUACCCGGGUAGUCCUAGCCGUAAACGAUACUCGCUAGGUGUCGGCCACGGUGCGACCGUGGUCGGUGCCGUAGGGAAGCCGUGAAGCGAGCCACCUGGGAAGUACGGCCGCAAGGCUGAAACUUAAAGGAAUUGGCGGGGGAGCAC
rnacentral:rRNA from 1 species